AGCUCAGCAUUGGGUAUAAAGCGUGCGCAGGCGGUUUUGUAAGACAGAGGUGAAAUCCCCGGGCUCAACCUGGGAACUGCCUUUGUGACUGCAAGGCUGGAGUGCGGCAGAGGGGGAUGGAAUUCCGCGUGUAGCAGUGAAAUGCGUAGAUAUGCGGAGGAACACCGAUGGCGAAGGCAAUCCCCUGGGCCUGCACUGACGCUCAUGCACGAAAGCGUGGGGAGCAAACA
rnacentral:rRNA from 1 species